rnacentral:lncRNA from 1 species
GAGGAGAGGAGAGGAGAGGAGAGGAGAGGAGAGGAGAGGAGAGGAAGCAGGCUGGGCUGGGCUGUUGGUUGAGGUACAGGUGUAGUUUGGGGUGGAGGGGGGACAAGCGGGAUAGAACAUGGCGAGGUGAGGUGGGACAGACGAAGCUCUGAGUGCUCCCCGUGGUGGUUUCGUGGUGAGCAAACUGGCCUGGAAGCAAACUCUGUCUGGACCCAGCUGCAUUUUGUCCCAGAAGGAGUCGCUACAGUAAAGAAAGCGAGCUCAUCAAUAUCCAGGAAAACCAGGCACAGCUGAGGCAGAACCUUGGGAAUGCUUCUCCAUGCAUCCAGAAAUGCUGUGGGCAUCUUCCCACAGCCCAAGCAGUUGCAGAGUGCCAAAAUCUGGAGGAAGGUGAAAUGAUGGAAAGAAUACCAAAGGAGGUG